AGAGUUUGAUCAUGGCUCAGAACGUACGCUGGCGGCACGCCUAAUACAUGCAAGUCGAACGGGGUAGCAAUACCUAGUGGCAGACGGGUGAGUAACAUGUGGGUAUCUUCCCUUUGGUGAGGAAUAACACGAGGAAACUUGUGCUAAUACCUCAUAAGUCUUUACAGAGAAAGCUUUAUGCACCAUUGGAUGAGCCCGCACUUGAUUAGUUUGUUGGUGGGGUAAUGGCCUACCAAGACUGUGAUCAAUAGCUGAUUUGAGAGGAUGAUCAGCCACAUUGGGACUGAGACACGGCCCAAACUCCUACGGGAGGCAGCAGUGGGGAAUCUUGCACAAUGGAGGAAACUCUGAUGCAGCGAUGCCGCGUGAGUGAAGAAGGCCUUUGGGUUGUAAAGCUCUUUCGUCGGGGAAGAAAAUGACUGUACCCGAAUAAGAAGGUCCGGCUAACUUCGUGCCAGCAGCCGCGGUAAUACGAAGGGACCUAGCGUAGUUCGGAAUUACUGGGCUUAAAGAGUUCGUAGGUGGUUGAAAAAGUUGGUGGUGAAAUCCCAGAGCUUAACUCUGGAACUGCCAUCAAAACUUUUCAGCUAGAGUUUGAUAGAGGAAAGCAGAAUUUCUAGUGUAGAGGUGAAAUUCGUAGAUAUUAGAAAGAAUACCAAUUGCGAAGGCAGCUUUCUGGAUCAUUACUGACACUGAGGAACGAAAGCAUGGGUAGCGAAGAGGAUUAGAUACCCUCGUAGUCCAUGCCGUAAACGAUGUGUGUUAGACGUUGGAAAUUUAUUUUCAGUGUCGCAGCGAAAGCGAUAAACACACCGCCUGGGGAGUACGACCGCAAGGUUAAAACUCAAAUGAAUUGACGGGGACCCGCACAAGUAGUGGAGCAUGUGGUUUAAUUCGAAGAUACGCGCAGAACCUUACCAACACUUGACAUGUUCGUCGCGACUUUAAGAGAUUAAAGUUUUCGGUUCGGCCGGACGAAACACAGGUGCUGCAUGGCUGUCGUCAGCUCGUGUCGUGAGAUGUUGGGUUAAGUCCCGCAACGAGCGCAACCCUCACUUUUAGUUGCCAUCAUUUAGUUGGGCACUCUGAAAGAACUGCCAGUGAUAAGCUGGAGGAAGGUGGGGAUGACGUCAAGUCCUCAUGGCCCUUACGUGUUGGGCUACACACGUGCUACAAUGGUAUCUACAACAGGAAGCGAAACAGCGAUGUUGAGCAAAUCCUUAAAAGAUACCUCAGUUCGGAUUGCACUCUGCAACUCGAGUGCAUGAAGCUGGAAUUACUAGUAAUCGUGGAUCAGCGUGCCACGGUGAAUGCGUUCCCGGGUCUUGUACACACCGCCCGUCACACCAUGGGAGUUGGUUCUACCUUAAGGC
rnacentral:rRNA from 1 species